UUCCGCGAGUUUUAUCGGGAUCCGGCGUUGCGCGACCGCAUAGCCUCGGACGUGUUGGAGGUGUCGGCGCUCCGGCCGUAGAACCUUCCGUUCACGUACACUAUCAUUAUACGAAAUUAUUACACGCGGCGACGGUAACGACGCGUUCGACGAACGUUCGCGCAAAACCAUCUGCUCGGCUUUUACUACCACUCGCAGGGCAAACGUCAGCGCACGGAACGCGCGUGCCGCUCGACGUGGAAUAUUUCGCCGGUCAAACGUACGACGGCCCGUUACAGAUCGUACGCGAUUCAAUCCAUAGCCGUACGACACGAGACCGCCACGAAGAAUAUUGCGUUUGCGUCCGAUCUGUACGAUUUGGGUCGUGCGGUACGCGCGCCGGACGCCCCCAAGCGGGUGUGGAAGUGUCGCGUUUACGAUGAAUUGUUCGCAGCUCGGAAAUCGUAGAACUGUCGGAAACGUUCGGUCUGCCGUCCGAUUGCCGCGGGUUCGCGGACGCGCAAGAAAAAAUCUGGUGGCGUCUGGUGCCGUUUUCCCGCGGACUGGCCGUUUGGUUUCAGCGAAACGGGUCGCGAUCGUUCGCCGUGUUUCCCGUCUUCCGUCCCGGUCCCAAACCCUUGCGGUACAACGCCACGGCCAGGCCCGGUGCGCCAGCAAAUCUUUACACGUAGGCAAAGAUCAGAAUUGCAUGCCGCCUCUUGUUUUAUUUAUUUUUUUCUUUUAUGAAUAAAUGUAAAUUUUUUGCCGUCGUAGGCUUGUGCCUACGUCGCCUACGCCUAUAACCACGGCCGUGUACGAACACUGUUGCGCGAGGCGAAACCUAUAUGGAAUUCCGUUGCAGCGCCGAGGAUUUCGGAGCCGGUGUAGGUACUGGUGGCGUUAUUUCGACUUGUCGCAAAAGCGCCUACGGUCACGUGGAUCGAACGCACGAAAUUCGGAAUGUCGUUUGCGACGAACGGUGCGUAUUUUUGCGCGGCCACGGAGAGGUUUACGGCGCGAGACGAUGGGAUCGCGGCCACUGCUGCAGUGGAACCGAAACGCAAGCGAUGAUGCAAGAGAAAACGGACGGCCGAAGACGACGCGAACGUCAAUGACCAUAAUGCGGAUCCGUCGAAACAUUCCGGACAUCUGCAGGGACUGGAUCCGGCGUGGUCAAAUACGCGGGCGCUUGUUAUCUCGGCAACUACGGUUCCGCUUCGAAACGUUUUACUUGAUGAUGUCGAACUCGUUGAGGUUGAAGUAGAUCCAGAAUUACGCGGUGACCCUACUUCAGGCCUCCAUAACUUUGCUCGCAUGACUCCUGCGCUAUUUGGACAAUUUUCUUUUGCCCUUGACCAAGACAACGAAUGUAAAGAAUAUGGAGUUCCAAACGCGCCUGAAAUUUUAACAAUCUAUAUUAAUACGAGUAUAUUUCUAAGCUGUAAAAUUACCGCAAUUGCUGGAAUCGCAGUCACUAUUCAGUGAGCUUGUACCGUCGGACUCGGAACCGGACGAAUAUUCAUACAGGAAAUAAUCUCUGGUGUAUGGUGGUGCAUGAUAAUGGUGCCCCGCACCAUGGUGAUUUAAUUGAUAAUGAUGGUGAUGAUGGUCCAUCGCCGGUUAUAUUGAGACGUGGGCAACAAACAAGCGGAAGCCGGUAUGCUACUGCAGAGACUGCCGAAUAAGUUUGCAAGUAUCCAAUAAACCGAGGCGUGCCGGAUAGAGGACGAGUAGUCGCGAUACCACGCCCAUACACCGCCCCAAUAUACACCCUUCCUUCCACCCACAUAUAAGUUUACAAGCUGCAUUAUAUCAAGUACUUAUGUCGUCCAAAAAAAUAUUGAUAAGAAAGUCCAAUAUUAUACGACAGGUUUAACUAAGGUGCUAUAUUUCCCAGAGGGGUAACAGCAGAAAACAAAUCAAUGAUUCGCUUGCUGUUCUUAAGCGUCGCGUCAUGUCGUCAUAAACAACACUGUUCAUAUAAUAUUAUAAAUAAAAUGUAUUUUGUAGUAUUUGUCUAAUUAUGUAACAAUAAUAAAAAUAAAUAUAAAUUAUAAUAUCAUAUUUAAAAUACCAUUACGUUUUUUAUGAAAAUACGCGUGUGGUGUAG